UACGGAGGAUGCAAGCGUUAUCCGGAAUGAUUGGGCGUAAAGGGUCCGCAGGUGGCAAUGUGUGUCUGCUGUCAAAGAAUGAGGCUUAACCUCAUCAAGGCAGUGGAAACUACAUAGCUAGAGUACGGUCGGGGUAGAAGGAAUUCCUGGUGUAGCGGUGAAAUGCGUAGAGAUCAGGAGGAACACCAAUAGCGAAGGCAGCUCGCUGGGACGGUACUGACGCUGAGGCGCGAAAGCGUGGGGAGCGAACAGG
rnacentral:rRNA from 1 species